GUGGGGAAUAUUGGACAAUUGGGGGAACCCUGAUCCAGCCAUGCCGCGUGUGUGAAGAAGGCCUUUUGGUUGUAAAGCACUUUAAGCGAGGAGGAGGCUACCGAGAUUAAUACUCUUGGAUAGUGGACGUUACUCGCAGAAUAAGCACCGGCUAACUCUGUGCCAGCAGCCGCGGUAAUACAGAGGGUGCAAGCGUUAAUCGGAUUUACUGGGCGUAAAGCGCGCGUAGGUGGCCAAUUAAGUCAAAUGUGAAAUCCCCGAGCUUAACUUGGGAAUUGCAUUCGAUGCUGGUGGGCUGGAGUAUGGGAGAGGAUGGUAGAAUUCCAGGUGUAGCGGUGAAAUGCGUAGAGAUCUGGAGGAAUACCGAUGGCGAAGGCAGCCAUCUGGCCUAAUACUGACACUGAGGUGCGAAAGCAUGGGGAGCAAACAGGAUUAGAUACCCUGGUAGUCC
rnacentral:rRNA from 1 species